AUUGAACGCUGGCGGCAGGCUUAACACAUGCAAGUCGAACGAGUGGCGGACGGGUGAGUAAUGCUUGGGAAUCUAGCUUAUGGAGGGGGAUAACUACGGGAACCUGUAGCUAAUACCGCGUACCAUAGGCUGAGCCCAAGUGGGAUUAGGUAGUUGGUGAGGUAAAGGCUCACCAAGCCGACGAGCUCUCGCUGGUCUGAGAGGCUGACCAGCCACACUGGGAAUGAGACACGGCCCAGACUCCUACGGGAGGCAGCAGUGGGGAAUAUUGCGCAAUGGGGGCAACCUGACGCAGCCAUGCCGCGUGAAUGAAGAAGGCCUGCGGGUUGUAAAGUUCUGUCGGUAGCGAGGCGUUAACUACAGAAGAAGCACCGGCUAACUCCGUGCCAGCAGCCGCGGUAAUAC
rnacentral:rRNA from 1 species